AACUUUCAACAACGGAUCUCUUGGUUCUGGCAUCGAUGAAGAACGCAGCGAAAUGCGAUAAGUAAUGUGAAUUGCAGAAUUCAGUGAAUCAUCGAAUCUUUG
rnacentral:rRNA from 1 species